UGUUGAAUGUGGUUGAGAGUGGAACUGUAGCAAAGGAGAGAGGUAGAAGAGUUGCUGAAGAGAGUGAAAGAAGAUAGAAGAAAAUAAUAAUAAUUAUUAUGUUUUAAAAUAAGAGUUAGUUAUUUAAUAUUAAUUUAAAAAUUUUGUAGUUUGUAUUAACAUUUUUAUAAUUUUAUGUAAAUGAUGACUAUUAUAAAAGUUAGUCCACUGGGUGGUGUCGAUACAGUGUACUUGUAGCAGGUGAUGGUUACGGACAGUGGAUGGCAUGGAAGUUCUCCUUGGAUUACGUUAUGUAAAUAUUUUUGUUUAAGUUGUAAUUUAUCUAACAUUAAUAAAAGGCAUUUUGGUCAUGGCGCAGUGUGGUCAAGUAUUGGAUUUUUUGUGAAAUGGCUAAAGGAAACAGAAUUUACUAUUGAAAUAAAAUUAUGCACCAGAAGGAAGGAGAAC
rnacentral:lncRNA from 1 species